ACGCGUCUCAGACUACAACUUAUUUUCUUUCAAAAAGACAAUUCCAAGUGCAAUGCAGGGCAGAGGGCUUCAUAGUGCAGAUCAUGAGGAGGGUUCAACCGUAUGCAAGUGAGGCAACAUUCACUACUCACUGCAUCAAGAAAAUAAAGCCAAGAAAAGCAACAGCAGCCAUCCUACAAGCUACCAUUGCGAGAAACUGGUUUCUCCUAAAUGACAGGAGUGUGAGAUAAUCAAGAGCAUUAGCGGGAAACACCCGACCGAAACUGCAGCUACAGAAACUGACAUUUACAGAAAGCAUUAAUGGUGCAGUAUGUGGGGAAACACAUGAAACUGUAAUGAUGCCUGACUUGCUCUGUAGUGUACAGGGAAGUCUGGUGAAUGUUACACUUGUUUGGCAGACAGGAAGUGACUGCAUCAUUAACACUAUCCAGAAGUGAGUGCUGAUAAACCCUGGCACGGCAACAAAAAGAAUAGCCAGGCAGAGUGACACGAGAACUUGUGGAAAACAUCUGCAGUUCACGGAAGAAACCCACAUGACAGAACAAAACAGAAUCAGUUCAAAUAAACCUUGUCCUGUGCAGGCUAUAAACAGAA